UUGCCAAGAAUAGUAACAGAAGUGAAAAUUUAGCCUUAUAAUAAGUUCUCUUUUAUCUCUGCAAUAUCAUGAACAAAUUUGCAAUAUAAGGCAUCUAGGAAUCAAGAAAACACACACGUUGCGAAGGCCUGCGGUAGGUAUUGACGCGAUGUGAUUUCUGCCCAGUGCUCUGAAUGUCAAAGUGAAGAAAUUCAAUGAAGCAUGGGUAAAUGUCAGGAGUAACUAUGACUCUCUUAAGGUAGCCAAACACCUUGUCAUCUGAUUAGCGAUGUGCAUGAAUUUAUGCGAGAUUCCCACUGUCCCUACUUACUAUCCAGCAAAACCACAGCCAAGGGAACAGGCUUGG
rnacentral:ncRNA from 1 species